rnacentral:rRNA from 1 species
CAGCCGCCACGGUAAUACGAAGGGUGCAAGCGUUAAUCGGAAUUACUGGGCGUAAAGCGUGCGUAGGCGGUUUGUUAAGUCUGUUGUGAAAUCCCCGGGCUCAACCUGGGAAUGGCAAUGGAUACUGGCAAGCUAGAGUGUGUCAGAGGAUGGUGGAAUUCCCGGUGUAGCGGUGAAAUGCGUAGAGAUCGGGAGGAAUACCGAUGGCGAAGGCAGCCCCCUGGGCCAAUACUGACGCUCAUGCACGAAAGCGUGGGGAGCAAGCAGGAUUAGAUACCCCUGUAGUCCCUGUCUCUUAUAC